GUGGGCCCAAAAUGGGAUUGUCCGCGGGUUCCAUAAUGGCCCAAUGUCAAUUGCCCACAUGGAUUUCAUGUGGGAUUGUACUUGCCAACAGGUGGGCCCCAACUGGGCAACAUGCGCAAGACCCAUCUUGGCCCCAGCUUUAUUUUUUAUGUGGGUACUACAAGGUUACUACAUGGGCUGAAAUAUGGGUUGUAAGUGGGUUUGUCCACGGGUUCCAUGUUGGCCCCGUGCAACUUACCCAUGUGGGUUUUAUGCAGGAUUUCACUGGGUUUUAGGUGGGGCCCAACUAGGGAUCAUAUGCAAAACCUAUCUGGGUGUUAGGGUGGGCCCAACAAGACAAUAUGCUUAAAGCCCACC